rnacentral:rRNA from 1 species
UGCCUGUACCAUAACCGACACAGGUGGGUAAGUAGAGUAUACUAAGGGGCGCGAGAUAACUCUCUCUAAGGAACUCGGCAAAAUAACUCCGUAACUUCGGGAGAAGGAGUGCCUUAUUCUUAAGGUUGCAAUAACAAGAUCCAAGCAACUGUUUAUCAAAAACACAGGUCUCCGCUAAGUCAUAAGACGAUGUAUGGGGGCUGACGCCUGCCCAGUGCCAGAAGGUUAAAGAAGUCGGUUAGCAAUAGCAAAGCUGGUAACUGAAGCCCUGGUGAACGGCGGCCGUGACAAUAACGGUCCUAAGGUAGCGAAAUUCCUUGUCGGGUAAGUUCCGACCCGCACGAAAGGCGUAAUGAUUUGGAUGCUGUCUCGGAGAGGGGCUCGGUGAAAUAGACUUGUCUGUGAAGAUGCGGACUACCUGCACCAGGACAGAAAGACCCUAUGAAGCUUUACUGUAACUUGAAAUUGAAAUUGGACUUUAUUCGCGCAGUAUAGGUGGGAGGCGUUGAUUAUAAUCUUGUGGGAUUAUUGGAGCCAUCAGUGAGAUACCACUCUUGUAAUGUUAGAUUUCUAACUUUGAGUCAUUAUCUGGUCAAAGGACAGUUUCAGGCGGGCAGUUUGACUGGGGCGGUCGCCUCCUAAACGGUAACGGAGGCGUACUAAGGUUUCCCCUGAACGGUUAGAAAUCGUAUCUAGAGUGUAAAGGCAUAAGGAAGCUUGACUGUGAGACCUACAAGUCGAGCAGGGACGAAAGUCGGUCUUAGUGAUCUGACGGUACUGAGUGGAAAGGCCGUCACUCAACGGAUAAAAGUUACUCUAAGGAUAACAGGCUGAUCUCCCCCAAGAGUUCACAUCGACGGGGAGGUUUGGCACCUCGAUGUCGGCUCAUCGCAUCCUGGGGCGGUAGUACGUCCCAAGGGUUGGGCUUUCGCCCAUGAAAGCGGUACGCGAGCUGGGUUCAGAACGUCGUGAGACAGUUCGGUCCAUAUCCGGUGUAGGCGCUAGAAUAUUGAGAGGAGCCUUCUUUAGUACGAGAGGACCGAGAAGGACAUACCUCUGGUGUACCAGUUAUCGUGCCAACGGUAAACGCUGGGUAGCUAUGUAUGGAGUGGAUAACCGCUGAAAGCAUCUAAGUGGGAAGCCCACCUCAAGAUAAGUAUUCUCAUCACGUAAGUGAGUAAGGUCACGGUAAGACUAACCGUUUGAUAGGCAUUAAGUGUAAGUACAGUAAUGUAUGUGCUGAGAUGUCCUAAUAGACCGAGGACC